rnacentral:ncRNA from 2 species
GUAUAUGCAAAGAAGAGGAAAGUAGAUGAUUAUGAUCGUUUCAGAGAGCUACUCCAAGGCUGCGAGAGUAGUAACAAUCAAAUCAUUGAAGAUCACCUCGGAGCAUCGCUUGCGAAAGGGAAACUGAGUAGAGGGCGGCGGCAUCGUCUCCGGUAAAAGGACGGGGGUCUAAUUGGACCUACGAAGCUUAUAUUUCGCGAGAAGUAUAAGGAAGCUGAGUGGUAACGCGAAACUCUCGCCUCAGCA